UACGGAGGGUGCAAGCGUUGCUCGGAAUUAUUGGGCGUAAAGGGUAGGUAGGUGGUCUCAUUUGUCUGGGGUGAAAGCCUUGAGCUUAACUCAAGAAGUGCCUCAGAAACGGUGAGACUAGAGUCCUGGAGAGGGUCGUGGAAUUCCCAGUGUAGAGGUGAAAUUCGUAGAUAUUGGGAAGAACACCGGUGGCGAAGGCGGCGACCUGGUCCUUGACUGACGCUGAGGCGCGAAAGCGUGGGGAGCAAACAGG
rnacentral:rRNA from 1 species